GGGGCUGUAGCUCAGCUGGGAGAGCGCGCCGUUCGCAACGGCGAGGUCAGGGGUUCGAUCCCCCUCAGCUCCA
rnacentral:tRNA from 2 species